ensembl:lncRNA
UUGCAUUUCUGUAAGGCUAGGUGUAGACAUUAAUAUCUGAUAGGUAGCAUUUUUAUUGUUCAACUGUGUUCCGUACUGUUUUAAUGUGAGGUAGCAAAAUCUUCAGAACACUGUUUAUAGAGCUUUACUGCCAAUAAUUUAAAUAAAAAAAAAUAUUUGCGAGCAUGAAGAACAAAAACUUCCACGUUUUCAGCGGUGAGUGAAUUCUAACUAACGUAAAUGCCUCUGAUUGGCUAAUGCGUUCAAGAAAUCAACAGAUGUGUCUGUGAUUGGCUACUUCGCUCAACGCUGAAAAAACAGUCGGAGCACAUAAACAAACUUUUGCCAGUAUUUCGCUAGUAUCCUGUUAUUACAGCUUCAACUGAGGGUGCUUAGCAGAAAUGAGCCUUUAAUAAAAAAGAAGAAGAAAAAAAAUCUGAAAGAGGCCGUGCAAUCUAUGUACUAGGCUGCUGCAGAGAGCAGAUGGUGAAGACGAGAAACACUUUUAAGGGAAACUUUCUUUGGAAGAUCAAGGGGAUAAUGGAAGGAUGAUGGACUGAGAGGCACUGAGAGAUUUUACACUGUGUAUGAGCAAAUUGAUAUACUGAAAAUCAUGGAAAAACACGAGACAUGUUUGAAAUGGCAUACAUGAAGGAUGCACUGAUAUAGAAACUUGUGGCACAAGCUGAUUUAUUGAAUUUUAUCUCAUGCUGUAAUAUAAAAUAUAAUAAAAUGGUGCUACAGUACUCCAUAACAUAUUAUUUGAAGUCACAUAAUGUAAACGGUUUAUAACACACAUAGAAAAGUAAACUUAUAAUUUUAAUAAGAAUCAUUAAAAAGGAGAACAAAAUGUAUUUAAAAGACCAGUACUGGUUUAUUUAUUCCUUGCUUUUGUGACAUGUUGCUCUCUGUUUGUUUGUUUGUUUAUAAAUAAAUAGACUGGCAUAGAAAAUGUCAAAUAAAAUAAAAUAAAUAAAUAAAUAGUGCUGCAAUACUCUUAAGAUAUUAUAUGGAGUCAAAUAAUACAAAUGUUAAUUAUUAAAAAUAGAUCAAAAUUAAACUAACACUUUUUGACAUUACUGGAUUUACUCACAAUUAUUAUUAUUAUUAUU